rnacentral:rRNA from 1 species
AUGGCAGGCACUCCGGACGUGAACCUGGACGGCAGCCUGAUCACCGGCUGCACACCCUUCGGCUCGCGCACGACGACGCUGUCCCUGCACAAUGAGGAGGAGACGGCCAUCGCCGCGGGGAAUGGCGAUGGCAACGAGCCCAGCGGCCGGUACAUUCUCGUGGCGGGGCGCGCCGACGAGAAGGACGGCCUGCGCCAGACGAUCGCGGGCGGCGUCCUCAAGCCAGGGAUCACGUACCGCGUGGCCGGGUGGAUCGGCCUGGGCGCAGGCGCGGCGCGGGGGACGAGCCACCCGGUGCGCGUCAACCUUGGUGUCACUAUGGACGACGAUGACAAUGAGAGCCUGCAGGUGGAGUGCGGCGCGGUCUGCGCCGAGGCCGGCGGGUGGACGGAGAUCAUGGGCGCCUUCCGCCUCAGGACGGAGCCGCGCGGCGCUGCGCUUUACGUCCACGGCGGCCCCGCCGGCGUCGGCGUCAAGGUCAUGGAUCUCCGCGUUUUCCAGACAGACCGCGAGGCGCGCUUCCGGCAGCUCAAAGACAAGACUGACCAGGCGCGCAAGAGGGACGUGAUCCUCAAGCUGGGCGCGGCGACGGGAGCGGCGUCCGUGCGCGUCGUGCAGAUGGACAACAGUUUCCCUUUCGGGACAUGCAUCAACACGACGGUGAUCCAGAACCCGGCCUUCCUCGACUUCUUCACCAACCACUUCGACUGGGCAGUCUUCGAGAACGAGCUCAAGUGGUACCACACGGAGGCGCAACAGGGCCAGCUCAACUACGCCGACGCCGACGCGCUCCUCGCGCUCUGCGACCGCCUGCGCAAGCGCGUCCGCGGCCACUGCGUCUUCUGGUCCGUGGACGGCGACGUGCAGCAGUGGGUCAAGAACCUCGGCAAGGACGAGCUGAAGUCCGCCGUCCAGAGCCGCCUCGAAGGCCUCGUCUCCCGCUACGCCGGCAAGUUCCCGCACUACGACGUCAACAAUGAGAUGCUGCACGGCCAAUUCUUCCGGGACCGCCUCGCCGACGAGGACGUCCCGGCGUUCAUGUUCAAGGAGGUGGCGCGGCUCGACCCGGAGCCCGCGCUCUUCGUCAACGACUUCAACGUGGAAUGCGGCAACGACCCCAACGCGACGCCGGAGAAGUACGCCGAGCAGGUCGCGUGGCUGGAGAGCUGCGGCGCCGUGGUGGGCGGCAUCGGGCUGCAGGGCCACGUGCAGAACCCCGUCGGGGAGGUCAUCUGCGCCGCGCUCGACAGGCUCGCCACCACCGGCGUGCCCAUCUGGUUCACGGAGCUGGACGUGUCGGAGCCCGACGUGAGCCUCCGCGCCAAGGACUUGGAGGUGGUGCUCCGGGAGGCAUACGCGCACCCUGCGGUGGAGGGCGUCGUGCUCUGGGGGUUCAUGCAGAACACGAUGUGGCGGCAGGACGCCUGGCUCGUAGACGCCGACGGCACCGUCAACGAAGCUGGCCAGAUGUUCCUGAACCUCCAGAGGGAAUGGAAGACGGACGUGCGCGGGAACGCCGACGGCGAUGGAAACUUCAAGUUCAGGGGCUUCCACGGCAGAUACUUCGUCGAGGUCACCACGGCGACGGGGUGUCGGAUGCUCAAGACGUUCACGGUGGAGAAAGGAGACAACACGCCUCUCCUGGUGGAUUUGGGCGAUGCCUGA